UACGAGGGGGGCAAGCGUUGUCCGGAAUUAUUGGGCGUAAAGGGUUCGUAGGCGGUCUGAUAAGUCAUCUGUGAAAUCUAUGGGCUCAACCCAUAGUCUGCAGGCGAAACUGUCAGGCUUGAGUAUGGGAGAGGUGAGUGGAAUUUCCGGUGUAGCGGUGAAAUGCGUAGAUAUCGGAAGGAACACCUGUGGCGAAAGCGGCUCACUGGACCAUUACUGACGCUGAUGAACGAAAGCUAGGGGAGCAAACAGG
rnacentral:rRNA from 1 species